UUCCGUAGGUGAACCUGCGGAGGGAUCAUUACCGAGUUUACAACUCCCAAACCCAAUGUGAACGUUACCAAACUGUUGCCUCGGCGGGGUCACGCCCCGGGUGCGUCGCAGCCCCGGAACCAGGCGCCCGCCGGAGGAACCAACCAAACUCUUUCUGUAGUCCCCUCGCGGACGUUAUUUCUUACAGCUCUGAGCAAAAAUUCAAAAUGAAUCAAAACUUUCAACAACGGAUCUCUUGGUUCUGGCAUCGAUGAAGAACGCAGCGAAAUGCGAUAAGUAAUGUGAAUUGCAGAAUUCAGUGAAUCAUCGAAUCUUUGAACGCACAUUGCGCCCGCCAGUAUUCUGGCGGGCAUGCCUGUCCGAGCGUCAUUUCAACCCUCGAACCCCUCCGGGGGAUCGGCGUUGGGGAUCGGGACCCCUCACACGGGUGCCGGCCCCGAAAUACAGUGGCGGUCUCGCCGCAGCCUCUCCUGCGCAGUAGUUUGCACAACUCGCACCGGGAGCGCGGCGCGUCCACGUCCGUAAAACACCCAACUUUCUGAAAUGUUGACCUCGGAUCAGGUAGGAAUACCCGCUGAACUUAAGCAUAUCAAUAAGCGGAGGAA
rnacentral:rRNA from 1 species